rnacentral:rRNA from 1 species
UUUAAGCUUCCUACGGGAGGCUGCAGUGGGGAAUAUUGGACAAUGGGCGAAAGCCUGAUCCAGCCAUGCCGCGUGAGUGAUGAAGGCCCUAGGGUUGUAAAGCUCUUUCACCGGAGAAGAUAAUGACGGUAUCCGGAGAAGAAGCCCCGGCUAACUUCGUGCCAGCAGCCGCGGUAAUACGAAGGGGGCUAGCGUUGUUCGGAAUUACUGGGCGUAAAGCGCACGUAGGCGGAUUGUUAAGUGAGGGGUGAAAUCCCAGGGCUCAACCCUGGAACUGCCUUUCAUACUGGCAAUCUUGAGUUCGAGAGAGGUGAGUGGAAUUCCGAGUGUAGAGGUGAAAUUCGUAGAUAUUCGGAGGAACACCAGUGGCGAAGGCGGCUCACUGGCUCGAUACUGACGCUGAGGUGCGAAAGCGUGGGGAGCAAACAGGAUUAGAUACCCUUGUAGUCGAAUUCUU